UGGGAUAUGGUGUAAUUGGCAGCACGACUGGUUCUGGUCCAGUUAGUCAAGGUUCGAGUCCUUGUAUCCCAG
rnacentral:tRNA from 4 species